rnacentral:lncRNA from 1 species
UUUUCAUUUGCCUUUGAACAAAAUAUUUAUUUUUCUUCUAAUUUUAAUGUAUACGUGGAUGAAAUAGAAUAUUAAAAAUUUAUUGGAACUAAAUAGUAAAUAGAAUUUCUAAGAGUGGCCAAAUCGUCAUUAUUAUUAUUAUUAUUAUUUUUGGGAAUAAUAUUUUAUUAACUACCAUUUCUAUUUGAUGAAAAAAAAAACAAAAAUAGAAAAAUCUACACACGAUAAAAUAUAAAAGCAUUAGCUCCUUACACAGCGACCCGGUGAGCGACUCACUUCACCCUAUGAUCUGCUGAAAGAGCAAAGAUCGUACACACACACACAGAACUCAACACAAUCAAUCAGAGAGAAAUAUGGAGACGAAGCCGACAGAGAUAAGCUUAAUAAGGUAUUGACACCUGUAAAAAAUAAACUCAAAAUUAUCCACAGAAAGGGCAAGAUUAUGACAGCAAGAAGGUGGCGAAAAAAAUAGAGAACAACAGAAUAAUUAUUUUUAAAAAAAAAUUAA